rnacentral:rRNA from 1 species
GACGAACGCUGGCGGCGUGCCUAAUACAUGCAAGUCGAACGGUCUUUUCUAUGGAAGCUUGCUUCCACUGAGAAGAUAGUGGCGAACGGGUGAGUAACACAUGGGUAACCUGCCCAUAAGAGGGGGAUAACAUCCGGAAACGGGUGCUAAUACCGCAUAGGUUUCUUGGUCGCAUGAUCGAGAAAGGAAAGACGGCCUUUGUGCUGUCGCUUAUGGAUGGACCCGCGGCGUAUUAGUUAGUUGGUGAGGUAACGGCUCACCAAGACGAUGAUACGUAGCCGACCUGAGAGGGUGAUCGGCCACAUUGGGACUGAGACACGGCCCAAACUCCUACGGGAGGCAGCAGUAGGGAAUCUUCCGCAAUGGACGAAAGUCUGACGGAGCAACGCCGCGUGAGUGAAGAAGGUUUUCGGAUCGUAAAACUCUGUUGUCAGAGAAGAACAAGUCGGAGAGUAACUGCUCCGGCCUUGACGGUAUCUGACCAGAAAGCCACGGCUAACUCCGUGCCAGCCGCCGCGGUAAUAC